rnacentral:rRNA from 1 species
GUUGGGCACUUUAAGGUGACUGCCGGUGACAAACCGGAGGAAGGUGGGGAUGACGUCAAAUCAUCAUGCCCCUUAUGACCUGGGCUACACACGUGCUACAAUGGAUGGUACAAAGGGCAGCAAGACCGCGAGGUUUAACCAAUCCCAUAAAACCAUUCUCAGUUCGGAUUGCAGGCUGCAACUCGCCUGCAUGAAGUCGGAAUCGCUAGUAAUCGCGGAUCAGCAUGCCGCGGUGAAUACGUUCCCGGGCCUUGUACACACCGCCCGUCACACCACGAGAGUUUGUAACACCCGAAGUCGGUGGGGUAACC